GGAUAGCAUGUGCACAUCUAUCAUCCAAAUACACACACACCUGUGCACCUAUUGUAGAUCGAGAGAUCUAUGUUUUACUACACUACCAAACAAUGUAUGUCUUAGAAUGUUAUCAUAUUUUACAACUUUCAGCGACGGAUCUCUUGGCUCUUGCAUCGAUGAAGAACGCAGCGAAUUGCGAUAAGUAAUGUGAAUUGCAGAUUUUCAGUGAAUCAUCGAAUCUUUGAACGCACCUUGCGCUCCUUGGUAUUCCGAGGAGCAUGCCUGUUUGAGUGUCAUUUAAUUAUCAACCGAAUGUCUGUUCGGAUUGGAGUUGGGUUUGCUGGCUUUGGGUAGUCAGCUUUCCUUAAAUGUAUUAGCAAGUCAAGUCUUGACGUGGGCGGCUAGAGUCUGACGUGAUUAAUCAUCUUAUCGUCGGUGGGCCAGAAGUGUCAUUAGGAAGCUUGUUUCAUCAGUGGGGGUGAAGGAUGGUAUUGAUGUGCAAGCAUCACUACCCUAGUGGGUCGAGUCUGGUACAUUUAUUUAAUAGAGGGCUUGGAAUAGUAGUGUGCCCGGGUUGAUGAUGGUAUAGUCUAUCGAAAAGUAAUACUUAAUAGAGGACUGGGCCUAAUUGACCUUGGUGUACGAAAAACCAAGCUUAUCGAACGGUAGAAUCUAGGCAACUCACUACCGAAUUGGCAUGCAAGUGUCAUAUUAGGAAACUCACUAUCCAUUACCAUUUUCAUUUUGACCUCAAAUCAGGUAGGACUACCCGCUGAACUUAAGCAUAUCAAUAAGCGGAGGAAAAGAAACUAACAAGGAUUCCCCUAGUAACUGCGAGUGAAGCGGGAAAAGCUCAAAUU
rnacentral:rRNA from 1 species